rnacentral:rRNA from 1 species
UGGUGGAGCGAUUUGUCUGGUUAAUUCCGUUAACGAACGAGACCCGGACCUGCUAAAUAGUUCGGCGAAGGCGUCAGCCUUCGUACGUGACUUCUUAGAGGGACUAUCGGUGCUUUAGCCGAAGGAAGUUCCGGGUAAUAACA